UCUAUGUGAGCAAAUAAGUUCACCACCAAACUUGGCUGCAGCUUCUUUCUGCUGAGGGGGCAUGGAGGCAGAGUCCAACAAUAUUUUACCAUGGGCAAACUCACAGUGGAAAGCAGGAACAGAAGACUCCUGUCUCCAGAUCACAGACAAUUCUCCUGGGAAGAUGCUGCUGCAAAUCAAAAGUGCCCUGUAGAGACUUUCUCCUGGUGGACUACUACAAUUUUGCAGUAACCUGAAAUCCACAGGUGACCAAUGUGGUUGGAAGCCACUUCUGCUGCUUCAUACCCUCUUUGGUCAACAAGAAAAUAUUUGAUUGCUUCUUCAGCUUGCAUGGCUGUAGCAAAGCAAGUAGUACAGCAAGUUAGUGCAGUAAGAUGUCCAUCCAAAAUCCUGGUUUUAUCUUCCUAGUUUUCGUCAGGAAGAAGUCCUUCAAAGUAAUAGGAUUUCAUAUGUGCAGUAAGUAGAAGCUGCCUGGUUCUCCAGUCACAUUACCACUGCUGCUGGAGGAAUGACUCCCAAUUUUUCCCAUUAAACAAGAAGGAGCCUGACAGGAGUUUAAAAAGAGCAUUUAUGCUACUGAAGCAAAACACAGCUUCCACUGUGGAGGUCUGGUAAUCCACAAAUACAGAGCAGCCGGGCAUCCUUCUCUUUUCUGACAUUUUGUAAGAGGCAUGCUGCCAAGAUCUGAAAUACAUUGUUAAAAAUACACUGCAUUUUCAUUAGGGAAUUCUAGGUUACUUUGAGGUGAAGCUGUCCAUGGAGAGUGACAAGUAUGUAAGGGGUGUUUUGCAGCAGCAGCAGCUUCCCAAAGGCAUUCCCUGGGAUAUGGGACAAAACAUAGCAAGCAGCCUGUUGUUAAAGAUGCAGUUUUAGGGAGAAAAGAGUGUUUAACUAGAAAAGGCAGGUAUGAAAGAAAAAGACGUCUCCUCUUGGCACACUGAGGAUCUUAUCAGGAGCCACAACUGGUGGUAGGGAAUGGAAGGAAAUGGUAGAAGAGGGAGGGAGAAGUGCUCCAUAGCAGUUACCAGAAGGGCUUUGGUAAACAAUAGCAAAAAUAGGCGCACUGCCUAGUCCCUGCUGAAGGAUGACUGCCGCCUCACUCCACGCUGCCUCCUCUGCACAGCUUUCCAACCUGGCGGCCCGUGCCGGCGGCUGCCAGGGGCACACGGGGACUCUUACAGAGACGGCUCUGUGGCCAGCCAAGCCCGCGGAGCAUUUCACUCCGUGCCACAAAUAGCCGAGUGCGGAGCAGUCACGGCUCCAAACAAGGUGCUUGGCAAAGGCAGCUGCUGCUUGGCAACCUGUCCGUGCCACCGUGACAUAUCGCUGCCGAACGCCGGGACGGGGGGAUGAGUAAGGACAGCGCAUCCCACGGCCUCCCCCACGGGUACGAGUGGCUCCAUUUCAAUGAUGCAUUAACAGAUCCUCCGCGGUGACUCUCACACGCAAAAUACAGAACAACCUAGAACAGAAGCUGGGCUGCAAAAACGCGUGGGCUUGCAGUGCCCUGCUCUGAUUUCUGCACCGACAGUUUAAAGCACUAGUUGACCUUUUGUGGGUUUUUUAAAUUGAAAUUGAAAACACUCUUGGGUUCUGGUUGCUGCAAUUGUUUAUCUCUUAAGCAAUAAAAUACUUUCCGUGUUAAGCUGGUCUCCUAAGGCA